UACGCCUGCGCAGAAAAAAAGCGAGUGCUGCAGAAGUUUGAGCCAAAGUCCAGAUAAGAUCUAAAGCAGUUUGUUAAAUUCACCACAGAGAUGGAGAUGCAGCUUCCACCUCAUGAGGGAGCCGAGCUCUCUGUGGUCGACAUGCACACAGGUGGAGAGCCUUUACGGAUCAUCCACAGCGGCUACCCUGAGGUCAAAGGUGACAGUGUGCUCUCCAAACGUCGCUAUGUCCGGGAACACCUGGAUCACCUCAGGAGGGUGCUGAUGUACGAGCCACGGGGACACUACGACAUGUAUGGAGCCCUGAUCGUGGACAGCGAGAUACCUGAGGCUGAUCUGGGGGUGCUGUUCAUGCACAACGAGGGGUACAGCACCAUGUGCGGACAUGCCGUCAUCGCACUGGGACGCUACGCCGUGGACUACAAACUGGUGAAAGAACCAAAGUCACCAGAGACUCAAGUGAACAUCCACUGUCCCUGUGGGCUGGUGAAGGCGUUUGUGGAGUACUCAGAUGGUAAAACAGGAGGAGUGAGGUUUCUCAGCGUGCCAGCGUUUGCCUUCGCUACAGAUGUGACGGUGACAGUGGAGAGGUUUGGUGAUGUGACGGUUGACAUCAGCUAUGGUGGAGCCUUCUAUGCCUUUGCAGACGCCCAAAGGUUUGGCCUCGAUGUGACCAAGUCCAGGACUCGAGAUCUGGUGGAUGCAGCCACAGCAGUGACCAACGCUGUCAAAGCUCAGGUGAAGUUGCACCACCCAACCAGUGAUGACCUGGCCUUCCUCUACGGCACCAUCCUCACUGACGGCAAAGAUAAUUAUUCCUCUGAUCCCACUGCUAACAUCUGUGUGUUUGCUGAAGCUCAGGUGGACCGGAGCCCCACUGGUUCUGGUGUGACAGCCCGAGUGGCUCUUCAGUAUCACAAAGGUCUCAUCCAGCUGAACCAGACCAGGACAUUUCAGAGUGGAGCCACUGGAUCCCAGUUCACAGGGAAAGCUGUUGAGGAAACCAAGUGCGGAGACUUCAAGGCUGUAGUGGUGGAAGUUGCCGGCAGAGCUUUUUACACCGGAGUGUCACGCUUUGUGCAGGAGCCAGACGACAAGCUGACACAUGGUUUUCUGCUGAAGUGAGACUCGAUUACAGGUGUUAUUAAAUAUAGUUAUACGUAACAAAAUUCUUUUUUUUUAACAUUAGUCAUAAGGUGCUUUUUUAACUUUAAAAUUGAAUAUGCACAGACUCAAUCAUCACUCUUGACCCACUAGAAGUGUGCAGCGGUGCGUGUUUCUUGUGAGACUCUGCCCUCUGCCUGUAUGUUCUUGUCUUUUUAUUUUCUCUGUGGAUGUUUUAAGGCGUGUGCCCCUAGAGCGCUCAGGGGACGUUAGAGCUUUGUAAAAAGGUAACGACCAGGUGCCAGACCUUGAGCAGCAGGCAUCCCCGGAGACAAAGUGCUGAAAAACUCCACAAAUAUAGUGAGGCAAACCAAAUGAGAGUGAAGCUGGCGUUGGCUUUUACUUUCACUGUCACUGGCGAGUGCGUUUACAAACAGUAUCUGAUAUUCCUGCAUAGUAUACCCAUGGAUGGAUUACUGAGAGGACCAAGGGGCCCAAAGUGUCAGGGGUCCCCUUACCUUCUCCUGCAAAAUGUCACCCCAGUUAACAUAUACCAACCAGGAAGAGACUCAAAAUGACCACAACAAGAUGCAAAAGGAACUUGAAGAGAAAUAAAAAGGGCACAAAACAAGAAAAAGAGACACAAAAUGACCAUAAAAGACACAUUCAUUCAUUCAUUUUCACUUAUCCUGUUAGGGGUCACAGGGGGGCUGGAGCCUAUCCCAGCUGACACUAGGCAAGAGGCGGGGUACACCCUGGACAGGUCACCAGACUAUCACAGGGCUGACACAUAGAGACAGACAACCAUUCACACUCACAUUCACACCUACGGACAAUUUAGAGUCACCAAUUAACCUGCAUGUCUUUGGACUGUGGGAGGAAGCCGGAGUACCUGGAGAAAACCCACACUGACAU